GGGUCAGUAGGUUGGUCGUGCCACCGGUACGUACUGGUCUCACUGAUUCCUCCUUCCUGACGAACCGUAAUGCCAUUAAUGUGGUGUUGCGGGGAAACAGGACUGUUACUUUGAAAAAAUUAGAGUGUUUAAAGCAAGCUAACGCUUGAAUACAUUAGCAUGGAAUAAUGAAAUAGGACGAUCGAUCCUCUUUUGUUGGUUUCUAGGAUUGACGUA
rnacentral:rRNA from 1 species